CUAUGUCUUUUCUUAGGGAGAGUGACUAGUCUCGAGUCAUUGGUGUGACUGACAUCAAGACAAGCAUGUAGGUGCUCAAUAGAGAAUGAGUCCACUGAACACGAUCCACAAGGAGUUCUCAUACUCAUGUCACAUGAGAACUCAUGGUUGGGAUAAUGCAAAGUAGUCCUUUGACCUGAGGCAUAAUAGUUGUCUUGGGGUUAGGUCCUUGAUCUUUGACUAUAUGAAAGUCACUUCGUCAAAGGGUGUCCACGACAUAGUUGGGGUUAAGCCACUUAGCUAUGGAGGUAAGUGAAUGCACAACAAGGGAUCUCUAACCUUCAAACCGUUUGUGGGAGAAUACUCUAUGAUAUGAUUAAGAAUCUCUGGCCAUGAGUAUGAAUGAGAUUUAGGAAGUCGUUACAAAUCACAUUCAAGGUAAUCAUAUAAGUAAAAGAAUCACAUUGGAUAGUAGACAUGAAUAAACUAUCAAACCAAACAAUGUGGUCAAGAGUAUUGUUUUAGAGAAAGACAGUAUUGCAUUGUAAUCCUAAACUGAAUGGGUUCUCCACCUAUUCUGAUUAGCUUGGGCAGCCAUGACAUACUGCUAGGUGUCACUUAUGGUUUGUGGAAGCCCUAAAGGUGUAUAAUCAUAAAGGGAGAAUUGAAAGUAAGUUUCAAUUCACAAUCGAUUUGAAGAGUUCUAAUCGCCCACUGCCUCGCUAAAAGGAACCUAAUGGAUCGUACAUCGAGUAAGGUAGAGUUUGAAGAAACCACGGAGAUGAGUAAGGAUAAUUAAAUGGUUUAAUUAUUUAUUGCUAGGAUUAAUUAAUGUGUUAAUUAAUCAAACAAAUAAGUUCGUUAUAGACCUCGGGUUUGUUUUGGGCCGCAAGGCCUAAUGGGAUUUCAAUGUCAAGUCCAAUAACUCAAGUUGUAUGACAACUUGAAACACAAAGGGCCUCAAAGCCUAAAGAACCCAAUAUGGCCGGCCAUAAGAGUGAAGGGUAGUGAACUUGGCUUAAUUGCAAGUUUGCCACUCUAUUGUGAGGUGGUAUAAAGACAACUUUAUAGUCAUUUCAUCCUUAGGGGUUUUCUUUGAGGAAAUUGGAGAGAACACAAAGCUCUCUUUUCUCUCUAAGAGGCCGGCCACCCUAGAGGAACAUAGCUAGCAAUCUUCCUUCAUCUACAUUACUCAUCCCUUCAUCAAUGCUCUCCUUAAUGUGGAGACUUAGAGGUUCUCUUUUUUGGGAACUUGGAGAAUCCAUUCAUCCAUCUUCAUCCAAGAAAUCCAUGGAGCAAGAAGUAAGGAAUGAAGGCCUUCUUUCUGGGGUGGUUAUGACACACCUCGACCCGGAAAGUCCACUAGGACUCCGAAUGGAGCUGUGCUGGCCAACACUUGGAAGGUAACGAAGCCAUAAAGUGUAGUGAUGUGGAAAAUGUGAAUAAAUUUAAACCUAAAAGUGCCUAAGUACCUGAGUGCGUGGUGAGCGGGUAUGGACCCAUUUCACACGUGAUGUCAGAGCAUAAGUAAAGUACAGUAAGGUAAGAUAAGGAUUAUACCAAAAUAGGAAGCCACCUGUACUUGAAUAUGUCAAGAAUCCUCGUCAAUAUAGAAACUUUGCUACUAGAACCUAGAGGGGUGGAAAACAAGAAAACGUGAGUGGGCAAAAACAAAGCUUUUCAAAAAUCAUUUAUCUUUUAAAAAAUAAUAACCCCUCACCGUAAAACCCGUAUAAUUUUCCUAGAAAAUAGUAAUACAUACGUAUAUCAAAACCAUACUCGAAAUACCAAAAUCCACAUGUAUGCCAUGUCAAAUAUCUUAACAUAAUGAAUAAGUAAACCAGGUGAAGUAAAUCAAUGAAAAGCGAUAUGUCAGCCGAAUCCACCUAUUGUGGCCUGUACGACUGAACCUAUGGCUCAUCAAGUAUGCCUACACAUGAGUCGGAACCACUUAAUGUGGUCUAUACGACAGGACUAGGUGUAAUAAGUAUGCUCAAGUGCUAUGAUCACGUGAAGACUGUACGAAUAAUCGUGGGUCACUUACGAGUCGGAACCACCUAUAGUGGUCUAUACGACAAGACUGUGCACUAAACUUGGAUCCAAGGUGAGCGUGCGGUGUGGGAGGUGAACAUCACGUGAAGGACUGUGCCCUAGCCACCGGCCGGAACACUAACACCGGGGUGUAGGUUUAUGAGCUCUAAAUGCCUCUAUAUGUAACCAUCAUAAAGCAACUCAUAAUCAUCAAUACAUAUAGACAUACACAACUACUAAAAGCAUAUACCAAAAUAUAAAGCAUUUGACAUGGCAUAUAAAACACAAAAUCAUUUAAAUCAAUCUUUUUGGGAAAAAUGUAAAGCAUAUAUACAUAUAUUGAAAACCAAAAGCCCACUCACUUGGAGUCCAUACUACAAUUCCCUAGCACAACUUUGAGGCGUCACGAACAAUCGGCGCCUAGAACAAUUAUUAAAUCACAACUCAGAAUUCUUAUCAAUAAAACACGUAACUUACAUAUCCUAUUCAGGAAGAUCUGUACAUCGGAUUCCCGAUCCGUAAGUUUCUAAUAUCCUCAAAUAUUAUGUACUACAAUGUAUCAAAGUUUAGUGAUGAUCCAACAGUUGGAUCAUUGACUGUUAUAAUAAUCGGGUGGCGGACCUUAAUGAAAUUAGGUUCAAAUGAUGGAAUUUCGUUAAUUGGACCUCACAAAUGGUAUCAAGGUAUUCAAACUUAUACUAGGAAGGUUAAGGGACACCUUGGCCCAUGCGCCGCUGCAGGUGGCGGUCGGCAGUCCCGACUUGCCGGAAAAUUCAACUAUUUCUAAAAAUUACCAAAUUUCAUAGAAAUGAAGAUCUCAGUGAAUAGAUUGGCCGGCAAAAGCCUUAAUUUCAUGAAAAUCUGCCAGAACCCUAGGUUUUGGGGGUGCCUUGAUUUGUCCUCAACUCAACUCCGCCGCUCUAACCAAUGAUUGGGCAUUGUUUCUAGGCUCAAGGGAAGUAUAUUGAUGGUGGCAAUCGAGAGAAUUCAUUUCAUGCAUGGCCACCACCUUAGGUGUCCUCAGGGCCGACGCAAGCUUUCGUCGUAAAAUCAAGACCAAUGGCCAUCAAAAUUAGGUGGGUAUGGAAGCUGGGGUGACACCAUAUUGAUUGGUGGUGUUGGUUGGCUACAAUUUGUUGGAACAUCGAAGGAAAAUCGAAGAAAACCACCGGAAAACUUGAAGAGAAAUGGGUUGGCCGAACUGGGUCAAGGGGAACUAGUCGGGUUCCUCUCUUUUCUCUCAUUUCUCUCUUCUCUGAUUGGUCACCCUCACAUUUCUCCUUUUCUAAUUGGUCCAGUUCCUCCCACCCUUCUCUCCUUUAUACUCCAUCUUCAUCGACCAUUUCUUGCUCUUUUUUUAAUCUGGGCCAAACACGUGGCAUGACCAGAUUUUACUCCACAAAUCUGGAGUUUUCUAGAAAAUAAUAAUUUACA
rnacentral:lncRNA from 1 species